GCAUCCACUGUACAAGCUCCUCAUACCCCACACUCGCUACACUCUGCAGAUCAACUACUUGGCUCGACUUGUUCUAAUAUCUGAGAGUGGAGUUUUCACACAGUUUGCAGCUUCUGGUGGAGAGGGUUUGAUCACAAUCCUGAGGAGAUCACUGUCCUCACUGACCUACAGCUCCCUCUGUAUACCAGAUGACAUUGCUGAGCGUGGG